ACCUUACCUGGUCUUGACAUCCACAGAACUUAGCAGAGAUGCUUUGGUGCCUUCGGGAACUGUGAGACAGGUGCUGCAUGGCUGUCGUCAGCUCGUGUUGUGAAAUGUUGGGUUAAGUCCCGCAACGAGCGCAACCCUUAUCCUUUGUUGCCAGCGGUCCGGCCGGGAACUCAAAGGAGACUGCCAGUGAUAAACUGGAGGAAGGUGGGGAUGACGUCAAGUCAUCAUGGCCCUUACGACCAGGGCUACACACGUGCUACAAUGGCGCAUACAAAGAGAAGCGCCCUCGCGAGAGCAAGCGGACCUCAUAA
rnacentral:rRNA from 1 species